rnacentral:rRNA from 1 species
UACGUAGGGUGCGAGCGUUAAUCGGAAUUACUGGGCGUAAAGCGUGCGCAGGCGGUGAUGUAAGACAGAUGUGAAAUCCCCGGGCUCAACCUGGGAACUGCAUUUGUAACUGCAUCGCUGGAGUGCGGCAGAGGGGGAUGGAAUUCCGCGUGUAGCAGUGAAAUGCGUAGAUAUGCGGAGGAACACCGAUGGCGAAGGCAAUCCCCUGGGCCUGCACUGACGCUCAUGCACGAAAGCGUGGGGAGCAAACAGG